ACGGCUACGUUAAUGGCGCUACGCAUGCGCACUGUCUUCGUUGUUCCGGUGCCCUUCUCUGACUAGCACGCUUGAGUUUCAGUUUCUCUGUCUCUUUUUUAAAUAGAGCAUCAUGUUUAGAUCAGCCGUGCUACGAUCUGUCUCUGGAAUCCGGGGUUUGGUGCGAUUACAGCCUUCUUACGCUGCUCCCCUGCAAGCCCGCUGUUACUCCCAUGGUGCGCAGGAGACCGACGAAGAGUUUGAUGCCCGCUGGGUAACCUACUUCAACAAACCUGACAUCGAUGCCUGGGAGCUCAGGAAAGGCAUGAACACUCUCAUCGGUUAUGAUCUUGUUCCCGAGCCAAAGAUUCUCGAUGCGGCUCUCCGAGCUUGCAGACGGUUAGACGACCUGGCCAGUGCUGUCCGCAUUCUUGAAGCAGUUAAGGAAAAAGCUGGUCCUCACAAAGAGAUCUACCCCUAUGUGAUUCAGGAGCUGAAGCCCACACUGGAGGAGCUGGGCAUCCCAACGCCAGAGGAACUUGGCAUUGACAGGGCGUAAUAUCAGCGUGUAGGGUAUUUGCAUAGUGAGUUCUGCUGAUGUUUAUUUACCGGUCUUCAGAAGAACCGCUGGUCCCACUGCACUUCAAGCCUCAGCCAAGCUUCCUGAUCUUCCUGUGACAUGAAAUCUGUCCAAAUGUGUAUAAAUAAUUAUGGAGCCCUAAUAAAGGACGGUUUAUCUUUAAAGGA